rnacentral:rRNA from 1 species
CGGCGUAAAGAGUGGUUAUGGAGAAUAAAACACUAAAGCUAAAGACCCCCUAGGCUGUUAUACGCACCUGGCGGCUCGAACCACCUAUACGAAAGUAGCUUUACCCCCCUUCCACCAGAAUCCACGACAGCUGGGGCACAAACUGGGAUUAGAUACCCCACUAUGCCCUGCCGUAAACUUAGAUAUUUCAAUACAACAAAUAUCCGCCCGGGGACUACGAGCGCCAGCUUAAAACCCAAAGGACUUGGCGGUGCUUCAGACCCCCCUAGAGGAGCCUGUUCUAGAACCGAUAACCCCCGUUCAACCUCACUACUCCUUGCUUUUCCCGCCUAUAUACCGCCGUCGCCAGCUUACCCUGUGAAGGUGUCGCAGUAAGCAAAAUGGGCAAUGCCCAAAACGUCAGGUCGAGGUGUAGCGUACGAAGUAGGAAGAAAUGGGCUACAUUAUCUGAAGCAGAUUAUUCACGAAAAGUCAUCUGAAAUCGAUGACUCGAAGGUGGAUUUAGCAGUAAGGGGGGAAUAGAGCGCCCCCCUGAAGCCGGCUCUGAAGCGCGCACACACCGCCCGUCACUCUCCCCAACAACA